UGGGGGAUAUUGCACAAUGGGCGAAAGCCUGAUGCAGCGACGCCGCGUGGGGGAUGAAGGCUUUCGGGUUGUAAACCUCUUUCGCUAUCGAACAAGGCCCGCUUAGGGUGGGUUGAGGGUAGGUGGAGAAGAAGCGCCGGCUAACUACGUGCCAGCAGCCGCGGUAAUACGUAGGGCGCGAGCGUUGUCCGGAAUUAUUGGGCGUAAAGGGCUUGUAGGCGGCUUGUUGCGCCUGCUGUGAAAACGCGGGGCUUAACUUCGCGCGUGCAGUGGGUACGGGCAGGCUUGAGUGUGGUAGGGGUGACUGGAAUUCCAGGUGUAGCGGUGGAAUGCGCAGAUAUCUGGAGGAACACCGAUGGCGAAGGCAGGUCACUGGCCAUUACUGACGCUGAGGAGCGAAAGCAUGGGUAGCGAACAGG
rnacentral:rRNA from 1 species